rnacentral:rRNA from 1 species
UACAGAGGUCUCAAGCGUUGUUCGGAUUCAUUGGGCGUAAAGGGUGCGUAGGUGGCGCCGUAAGUCGGAUGUGAAAUUUCGGAGCUUAACUCCGAAACUGCAUUCGAUACUGCGGUGCUUGAGGACUGGAGAGGAGACUGGAAUUCAUAGUGUAGCAGUGAAAUGCGUAGAGAUCAUGAGGAAGACCAGUGGCGAAGGCGGGUCUCUGGGCCGUAACUGACGCUGAGGAGCGAAAGCGUGGGGAGCGAACAGG